rnacentral:lncRNA from 1 species
AGUGUGACUCACAGCUGUCCGUGAACCACCUACUGUAACAGCUGGCUAGACACCACAGCCCUGCGGCCCUGCAGCCCAGCCACGUCUUUUUAGCUUCACCUCGACGGCCUUGCUCUUGACCUGAAAUCACCAUCACCUUAAUGGGCUAGAAAAGGUUUCCCCACUGCGAGCCCUUCGAGAACAAUGUCAUGUUGAUCGAUGGCAGUGACUCACACCAGAUCUUUCCAUGCCUCCUCUGCAAGGACUCAAGAGAGUCGAGAGCAAAACCGUGCCAUAGUUCCAUAAGGAGGGCAAAGAGCUUUAUCCACGCUGAGGAACAGGCGGAUCAUGCGGCUACAGCACUGGUCUUUACCUUUUAACUGCUUGAUUCGAAACAUUCCAGCCAGGAACAGUGGCUCACACCUGUAAUCCCAGCACUUUGUGGGGCCAAGGCAGGUGGAUUGCUCGAGCUCAGGAGUUCGAAACCAGCCUGGGCAACCUGGCAAAACCUCAUCUCUACAAAAAAAUACAAAAAUUAGCCAGGCCUGGUGUGUGUGCCUGUGGUUCCAGCCACUCGGCAGGCUGCGGCCAGAGGAUCACUUGAGCCCAGGAAGUGGAGGCUGCAGUGAGCUGAGAUCGUGCCGCCACACUCCAGCCUGGGUGACAGAGCCAGACAUUGUCUCUAAAAAAAAAAAAAAAAGAAAAGAAAAGAAAGAAAAAAGAGAAAUAGUCCAAGACUAGGGAGAAAACCUUCUUUGGGGUCAGUGUGAACCAUUCUUUCAUUUGUUCAGCAAAUGCUUACUGAGGAGCUACUGUGUCCCUGAAAUUGCCUCCACCUCCAAGAAGACAGUGGUGAUUCACUGCAACCCAGAGAAAGUUUUGUGUUGUGUUCUGGCUGGCGAAACUUCUGCAAACAACGAAUGCUUCUUUUCAUCAGCCUAUUCUGCGUUGGUUGGUAGGAUGUCAGUCUAUAACCACAUCAAUUUCAGAUGAGGAUGUCAAGACUUGGAGUAGGUGACAGUUGGCCUUGGGCUUCGGUGGCCAACCCAUGACUACAAAAGCCCGAGAAGCCAGCAGCUUCCCCGGCUCCUCCACCAAGUGGCCUCUGGGUGAUGGGGAAGCUUGUCCUCUGCUUUGUCACACACAAAACUCUAAAAGUCAGCAUCCCAACGCAUCGGCCUGGAGAGCCCGUCCAGCAAACCCGUCUGUGGGUGGAAGUGGAUGGAUCACAGACCUAUAGUGUGAGGCUGAGAUUCUGCAGCAUUGGGUGACUCGCCGGGGCCCUGCGACCACACAAGCAAGCAGGAGACGGAGUCUUGCUGUGUCGCCCAGGCGGGAGCGCAAUGGUGUGAUCUCAGCUCACUGCAACCUCUGCCUCCCAGGUUCAAGCGAUUCUUCUGCCUCAGCCUCCUGAGUAGCUGGGAUUACAGGCAUGUGCCACCAUGCCCGGGUAAUUUUGUAUUUUUAGUAGAGGUGAGGUUUCACCAUGUUGGUCAGGCUGGUCUUGAACUCCUGACCUCAGGUGGUCUGUCCGCCUCAGCCUCCCAAAGUGCUGGGAUUAUAGGCAUGAGCCACUGCACCCAGCUUGUCAUGCUCUUUUAACAGGGACCCACAGGAGAAGAUACAUUUACCAUCAAGACUAGCCUGCAUAAUGAAAAAGAAUGUUUUACUGAAAUGCUGUUAUUAAAGGGCUGCAUUCCAAUA